rnacentral:rRNA from 1 species
AGGACGAACGCUGGCGGCGCGCUUAACACAUGCAAGUCGCACGAGAAAGGGGAGCAAUCCCUGAGUACAGUGGCGCACGGGGUGAGUAACACGUGAAUAAUCUACCUCCGAGUGGGGAAUAACUGAGAGAAAUCUUAGCUAAUACCGCAUAACACUUACGAGUCAAAGCAGCAAUGCGCUUGGAGAGGAGUUCGCGGCCGAUUAGUUAGUUGGCGGGGUAAUGGCCCACCAAGACGAUGAUCGGUA